rnacentral:rRNA from 1 species
UUUAAAUUGAGAGUUUGAUCCUGGCUCAGGAUGAACGCUGGUGGCGUGCCUAAUACAUGCAAGUCGUACGCUAGCCGCUGAAUUGAUCCUUCGGGUGAAGUGAGGCAAUGACUAGAGUGGCGAACUGGUGAGUAACACGUAAGAAACCUGCCCUUUAGUGGGGGAUAACAUUUGGAAACAGAUGCUAAUACCGCGUAACAACAAAUCACACAUGUGAUCUGUUUGAAAGGUCCUUUUGGAUCGCUAGAGGAUGGUCUUGCGGCGUAUUAGCUUGUUGGUAGGGUAGAAGCCUACCAAGGCAAUGAUGCGUAGCCGAGUUGAGAGAC